rnacentral:misc_RNA from 1 species
GAAAUCAUAUAUCGGCAGCAAGGAAAUUCCCAGGUAGUGACACCUUCUCCCCAAGUUUAAAUGCUGGUAGACCCUUGUAUGGGCACGUACUGCACCGAAAAGCAUCUCCCAGUCCACAAUUUCCACAUGCAGAUUGAGGAUUUUCCAACAAAUCUGAAGUCAAUCCCAGUUUUUCUACUUUCUCCUCUGCUUCAGCCCUGCCACAAGUGCAGUUCUUGCAAGCUUUCCUAGUGCUGCCAACUUCACAAUCACCCACUAAUGGUAGCUGGGGUUUCUUCAAAUCCUCCUCAGUCAAUAAACUAUCUUCAUCGAUCAAAUCAGAAUCAUCAUCAAGCUGAAUCUUUGGUAAACUUUUUGCAGGCUUCUUAAUAGCAAAAGAGGAGCCAAUCUUCCAAGAAGGCUUUUUGGCUCUUAUCACGAAAUUCCCUACAUCAGAUGGAGAAACUAAUUUCUUUUCUGUUACUUGAGCUUCAAGAAAGCCUGCCAAAAGUAAUCUUCUCAACAUGGCCUGGGACUCAUCUUUCUUAACUGCAACAGACUGUGAAGUCUUGUGAAUAAGGAUUAUACCAUCAGGCUUCAAAACUCUUGAGAUAUCCUCACAGAACUGAUCACUUGGAAAAUCAGAUCUACAAAUAGAAAUGAUAACAUCCAUGGAUGAUGCUUCAAGUGGCAGCUUAUUUAGAGAAAAGGCUUGAGUGAUUAUUUGGGAACCACAGUUCCCAACAUAUUCAUUCCCAAGCUCUUGUAAAGCAUUAACAAUGAUGCUUGUAGCCAGAACAGUGUCAUCUGUAAUCGCCAACACGCUCUUCAUAGUGGUGUCCAUUUUCGACGGAGAAGAUGUGUUUUCUCGCGGAAGUAUGGGUUUUCUCUCGAAUUGCAGCACGCCGGACGGGAGAAGAAAGUCGAAUCGUCGCCGGAAGUAUCCGUUCUCCUUCUCUUCGAGGCACAGCACGCCGGACGGGAGAAGAAUGUGGAAUCGUCGCCGGACGGGACGGGAGUUCUU